rnacentral:misc_RNA from 1 species
GGGUAAGACAUAAUGGCUUUUUUCUUGUGAAGUAUGUCUUGUUUUAAGUUGGAGUAAAUUAUUUUCUACGAGUUGAGGAGGGUCCAUAGUUACAAGUCAGAUAACAUUUUCCUGAAAUUGGAAUCCCUCCUGUUGUUUUGGAUUAAACACAACAAUUAAGUCAGUUAACAAUAAUUUGUGAUUAACAUGUAAAAAGAAAUAUGAUAUUCAUAAAAAUGCC